CCUGGCAACUGGGCUCGUCCAUUCUCCGUUGUACUCAAGGGUGAUUCAGCUAUAGGAGAUGGCUUGAAACGCUACUUUCUAUCUCAGGUUAUUUCUCGUGUGCAGUUUGGGUUUGCCCUAGAUUUUGACAACUUUGGCAAAACUCUAUUUUUCACUGGUCAAGAAGACCAUCUGGUGCCAUCAACCUCCCGAACUCUGCUGGAUAGUGACUUGUUCCGCAUUGUUGGACGCAUGAUUGGCCAUUCAUUUAUUAAUGGUGGUCCCUCAUUGACUGGACUUAGCCCUGCUAUGUUUGGAAUAAUAACUGGACAAAUGAAUGAGACAGUCAUGAUUGAACUUGAAGAUUGCCCUGACACAGAUGUCAUUGAAAUUGUCCAUCUGCUUCAAAAACCAAAUACACUUGCUGAUGAUGAGUGUGUGAUAGUAAAUGACCUGGCUGUCAGUUGGGAUCUGCCUCAUGUCACUGCAGAAAACAGACUGUGGCUAGCCCAAAGCAUUCUUCACCAUGCUGUCAUCGGCCAGCAAGAGAAACAGAUGCAACAGUUGAAGAAAGGACUGAAGGAGACUGGAGUUUUGCGCAUGGUAAAGGAACGUCCUUCUCUCAUUGAAAUCCUAUUCCCACGAUCAUCUUCCCUGACAAUUGAUGC